rnacentral:rRNA from 1 species
UACAGAGGGUGCGAGCGUUGUCCGGAAUCACUGGGCGUAAAGGGCGCGUAGGCGGCUUUGCAAGCGUGCGGUGAAAGCUCGGGGCUUAACUCCGAGUCUGCCGUGCGAACUGUGAGGCUUGAGUCUGGUAGAGGUCGAUGGAAUUCCGGGUGUAGCGGUGGAAUGCGUAGAUAUUAGGAAGAACACCAGUGGCGAAGGCGGCUCACUGGUCCGGUACUGACGCUGAGGUGCGAAAGCGUGGGGAGCAAACAGG